rnacentral:lncRNA from 1 species
GCCAUCGCCCCACAACAGAGAAGGUCGAGAAGGAUUCUGGGUGGUUUGGCCUAUCCCUUAUGCUUUUCAUGUUUCCCUUUUCAAUUUACGCUUUGCUGCUCUUCGAUUUGAUCCAUUACAGUGUUGUGUUCUUGCAGCUUGCUGCAAGUGUUGGACUGGUCGUUCCUCUAACCGGAGGCCUUGCGAUGGUUCUGUUGGGUUCAGGUUAGUCACUUUCUUUUGCUCCAUUUUUUUUCUGAAUAUCUAAAUUUAUUCUGGAUAAUCAUGUUUAUAUUGUUGAUUUAUUAUAGGUCAAACCCGGCAAUGAACUUUAGAGUUAGUAUCCUCAAGUUAUUUUUUAACUACAUUACUAGACAGCCGUUGGCUUUCAGUUACCAGGUUAGUAUCAUAUCUGAAAAAGAAUGGCAAUUGUGGCAGUAACUUUAUGCUGCUUGAUACUGUGCUGUACUACACACAUAUAUCAUUACCAAUCUAUUUUUUGUUUACCUUUUCCUGACUUUAGAAAGGUGAUGUUUCAUUAUGCUUGGUACAAACAACUGGCAGCUAUGGUGCCUUCCUAAUCCAAGCAUCUAUUAUUUUUCAGGUUUUGCUGCUGUUAAUUGUAUUUGGUAAGCUGCCUCUCAUUGUGCUUGUCGUCGGAACCAGCAACAGCAGAAGCUUGCCUGCUGCCCUACCAAAGCAAAAUUAGGUUAUUUGUGAAUGAACAUUACCUCUUCAGCAAUCUGAUGGAUUUACAGGCUUGUUUGUUUCGUUGGUGGCUUGCUGCUCGGGUAUGCGAUCACAUCAGUUGGUUAUUUGCACUCGGAGCUAAGAUCUUUUCUGCUCGUCUCCUGAAUCCUGUUCGAUAAAAUGUGUGUGAGCUGAGACAUUUUUUUCUUUCAUGUUCCUUUCCGUGUGCAGGUUCUUUGUUGAUUUUGUUGGAUGUGUGUGCUGUUUACCAACAAGGUUAGGUUUCCUAUUGGCUUGCUUGAUUAGGUCUUGGUACAUAUUCCAUGAACCGGUGCGUUUGUGCGGUCAGGUUGGCUGUAUAUAAAUUUUGAGGUUCACCUGCUACGGAUAUGCUUUUCUAAUUGUAGUGUGACAGCUUUAACCAAAUUCUGUUUAGUUCACUCAGCCUUCUAUUCAUUGAUUUUGUAUAUGGUUCUUGAAAGUAGAGCUUGCUAAGCAUUUGAGAGUGUUCUAGUUUGCUUAAUCACUGCGACUAUGUGCUCUGGGUUAAAGUUCUAAAUUUUCUCUUCGUAGGAGCUUCAGAAGGGUUGCUCACCAAUGAACUAGAAGAUUGUUUUGUCCUGGGCACUCACAUGAUUAAGGAAGAAAUUGGUUAUUCCUGGAUGUGCUAUGCAGAUCAAAGGUGAGCUCAUCCUAUUUUCUUUCUUCAAUCUUAGCCGAAGAUUUAUCUCCGGUUUCCUUGCAUUUGUCAUGUUGGUUCUUUAUGUAGAUGUGCCAGCUAGCUUAGAAUCUGUAUCAUCAUCUUUGUCUUUGAGUAGAACUGAACUGGGGAUUUGCUCUGUUCUUUAUAGUUUUUAUAAAAUAUUUUAAAUUCCUGCUCAUUUCUAUCGACUUCACUGUAAAUGUUUUACAUUUAAAUUUAUCACAUGGACAAGAGCAAUAUUUCUUCUGAGAGUUAUAUUGUUUUGCGUCUGUUACAGAUUUUGCAGGUUAUUUAGCCAUUCCCGUGCUUCCAAAGGAACUCAUGACCCCUCUUAUAACUCUGCCCCGCAAUAUUUAGGUGUUACAAAAAUAGUUUGACCAUUUUGCCUCAUAAUGAGAGUUCUUUUACUAUUUUGGAGAUUGGUGCAUUCUUUCUGCAGUUUAACACCUGCAUUGCAAAUAAUCUUGCCAGAGAACUAUGUUGGGCACACAACUGCGUCUCCAACCCAUCCGGUAUACCAGCUCCUCCUCGCCCCUUCCUCAAUUUUCCGGUAAAAGUCUAUGCUUUGGUUUAUGCUUACUUGGUGGAGGUGGAUAUGGAUGCAGAUGGAGAGGCACAAAUUCAUGGAUUGGCCAAUGAGAUAUGUAGAUUGAGACAAUAUGACGCUUCAGAUAAAUGAUGUGCAUAAUUUGGACCAAUGGCAUGGUACCUUUUAGUCCUGUUGUUUCCCCCCUCAUGUAGCCUGCUGCUGUGCUACUCUGUGAAAUAUGCAUCUCACCUUUUGUUGGUACUGGUUGUGGCUGCAGAAAACAGAAAUCCAGCCUCCUUUUUUUGUGCGGAAAUGGGCCCCUACGGUAAAUGAAGCUACACUAGAUCCACUAUACUUCAGCUAUUUUGCCAAUUCUUGAGGCUUCAUUGGUAGUGUAGAUUCAAGGAAAAUUUAUAAAAUUUAUGCAUUCUUCCUUCACUUUUUUGUAUUUACAUGUUUUGUGCUGUUGAGCUAACUCAGUUGCAGAUAACAAGUGUGCUCUGUAUUCAGUUUAGCUAACAUUUUUUUUGCUACUGUUAAAACAUAUACUGCUUUUUAAAGGAAACAUAACUAUUGUUUUAUUUUAUUAACCCUAUAUAUAUGACAAAUUCCUUCUAAUUUGUUGUUCUUAACCGCUGAAGGAGCCUUUCAGUGGUACGUGCACACGGUUUUCAUAUGUAUAACUGUAAUGAACAUACAACACUGAGAAACUUUUAUUUGUGAGUUGCAUGACCACGGUGUUAGAAUCCUUACCAUUUAUAACUUUUGUAUACAUGAACAUAUAAACACUCACUACAAUAAUUUCCCUGUUCGUGAGGUGUAAUUUUUAAGACUAGCGGCCGUGGGGAAAUCCUUAUCAAUGUUCUUUUAUGUCUUAUCUGGUUAGCAUAGUGUUAGUUGAGAAAUGAUAAGAGCAAUACUUUCUGUUGAAUUGCUGGGAUAAAUAUGCUUUUUUUUAAUUAACAGCUUGAGAAGCUCAUAAUGCUAAUUCAACUGAGGUUGAUUGGGAACAUCCCUUCUAUUUGAAUUUAACACGUCUUAUACUGUCACAGUGGCAUUGUGCAAGUAUGAUUUUGUGGCACUACCACUGAGAUCUUACAAGCUUUGUAUGCUCUGAACAAUUGGCUAUAACUGCAUAAGAAUAACUAGAAACCUUUUUUGGUGAUCUAUUGAGGCGUCAUGGCUGGUGUGUGAGACACUAGAGUAGAGACAUAUCCAGGAGGCGCCACCGUAUGGAAGAGUCGUAAUAACAGUGGCGCAGAGCGCGUGUUUGUUCAGCAUGGAUGUGGCCAUGUGUUCAUUUGUAGCCUGAUAGCUUUAUAAGAAAAUUUACAUCACUUAUUCGGUUUUAGGUUUUCACUCAGACAUACAUUGGUUAGUGAUGUUAAUCCAUACAUAGUCCUAUAUGUGGCUUGAUGUUACCGUAUCUUUCAUUCAAGAUCUUGUGAACCCAUGUUGAUUUCUAGACCAAUAAAGUGAUAUGUUGUUAUAUGAAGCAUUCAAAUUUUUAUUUGUGUUCUGGCUUUGUAUGUUCUAUGCAG